GCAGACAUUUUAGUUGCUCAGCCUGACCGAGAAAUCGCAGAUCCACGUUCAUGAUCGAAGAGGAGGGCAGGGCUACGACGAAGAGCACGCCUCUCCGUCCGCUUGCUUUCUCGGCAGAGAGGAAUGGCUCUCGCUUUGCCCAGUAACCCUCCGCCACUCCCGUGACAGUAUAGGCCAUUUUCCUCACAUCUUCCCCUUCGGGAUUCCAGAAUCUGCAGUUCCUCACAGCUCAAUGUUCCUGUAGGAGAGGCAGGCUGCUCAGGAUCCAUCAGUUCAGAAUAAAAGAUUGCAAUUCUGAGCAGCUACAAUGUGAGGAAGUGAGCUAUAGCAUCACAUAUUAGUAUGUAAAAACAAAAAUAAAAAACCAGAGUGCA